rnacentral:rRNA from 1 species
CCUACGGGAGGCAGCAGUGGGGGAUAUUGCACAAUGGGGGAAACCCUGAUGCAGCAACGCCGCGUGAGGGAAGACGGUCUUCGGAUUGUAAACCUCUGUCUUUGGGGACGAUAAUGACGGUACCCAAGGAGGAAGCUCCGGCUAACUACGUGCCAGCAGCCGCGGUAAUACGUAGGGAGCAAGCGUUGUCCGGAUUUACUGGGUGUAAAGGGUGCGUAGGCGGCUUUUUAAGUCGGGCGUGAAAGCUGUGGGCUUAACCCACAAAUUGCGUUCGAAACUGGAAGGCUUGAGUGAAGUAGAGGUAGGCGGAAUUCCCGGUGUAGCGGUGAAAUGCGUAGAGAUCGGGAGGAACACCAGUGGCGAAGGCGGCCUACUGGGCUUUAACUGACGCUGAGGCACGAAAGCAUGGGGAGCAAACAGGAUUAGAUACCCUUGUAGUC